ACGAACGCUGGCGGCGUGCCUAAUCCAUGCAAGUAGAACGCUGAAGAGAGGAGCUUACUCUUCUUGGAUGAGUUGCGAACGGGUGAGUAACGCGUAGGUAACCUGCCUUGUAGCGGGGGAUAACUAUUGGAAACGAUAGCUAAUACCGCAUAACAAUGGAUGACACAUGUCAUUUAUUUGAAAGGGGCAAUUGCUCCACUACAAGAUGGACCUGCGUUGUAUUAGCUAGUAGGUGAGGUAAUGGCUCACCUAGGCGACGAUACAUAGCCGACCUGAGAGGGUGAUCGGCCACACUGGGACUGAGACACGGCCCAGACUCCUACGGGAGGCAGCAGUAGGGAAUCUUCGGCAAUGGGGGCAACCCUGACCGAGCAACGCCGCGUGAGUGAAGAAGGUUUUCGGAUCGUAAAGCUCUGUUGUAAGUCAAGAACGGGUGUGAGAGUGGAAAGUUCACACUGUGACGGUAGCUUACCAGAAAGGGACGGCUAACUACGUG
rnacentral:rRNA from 1 species